UUCAGUAUUGGAGAAAUGUGAGCAAGC
rnacentral:piRNA from 1 species